AUUGAACGCUGGCGGCAUGCCUAACACAUGCAAGUCGAGCGAGCGGCGGACGGGUGAGUAAUGUAUGGGGACUGCCCGAUAGCGGGGGGUAACUACUGGAAACGGUGGCUAAUACCGCCUACUAUCGGCUAACCCAUAUGGGAUUAGCUAGUAGGUGCGUUAAUGGCUCACCUGGGCGACGAUCCCUAGCUGGUCUGCGAGGAUGACCAGCCACACUGGGACGGAGACACGGCCCAGACCCCUACGGAGGCAGAGGUGGGGAAUAUUGGAAAAGGGGGGAAAGCCGGAGGCACACAGGCCGGGUGGAGGAAGAAGGCCUUAGGGUUGUAAAGUACGUUCAGCCGGGAGGCGUUACCGAAAGAAGAAGCACCGGCUAACUCCGUGCCAGCAGCCGCGGUAAUUC
rnacentral:rRNA from 1 species